rnacentral:rRNA from 1 species
UCCUACGGGAGGCAGCAGUGAGGAAUAUUGGUCAAUGGGCGCAAGCCUGAACCAGCCAUGCCGCGUGCAGGAUGACUGCUCUAUGAGUUGUAAACUGCUUUUGUAUUAGGGUAAAUGUGAGUACGUGUACUCAUUUGAAAGUAUAAUACGAAUAAGGAUCGGCUAACUCCGUGCCAGCAGCCGCGGUAAU